rnacentral:rRNA from 1 species
CCUACGGGAGGCAGCAGUGGGGAAUAUUGGACAAUGGGGGGAACCCUGAUCCAGCGACGCCGCGUGAGUGAAGAAGUAUUUCGGUAUGUAAAGCUCUAUCAGCAGGGAAGAAAAUGACGGUACCUGACUAAGAAGCCCCGGCUAACUACGUGCCAGCAGCCGCGGUAAUACGUAGGGGGCAAGCGUUAUCCGGAUUUACUGGGUGUAAAGGGAGCGUAGACGGUUAUGUAAGUCUGGAGUGAAAGCCCGGGGCCCAACCCCGGGACUGCUUUGGAAACUGUGUAACUGGAGUACAGGAGGGGCAGGCGGAAUUCGUGGUGUAGCGGUGAAAUGCGUAGAUAUCAGGAGGAACACCGGCGGCGAAGGCGGCCUGCUGGACUGAAACUGACGUUGAGGCUCGAAAGCGUGGGGAGCGAACAGGAUUAGAUACCCCAGUAGUC